rnacentral:lncRNA from 1 species
GCUAAACUGAGCAGCAGUAAAACAGUUUCCUGUGUGGCUACAUCCAGAGCACUCUUAUUCUUGAAUUCUGCUCUCACCUGUCAGAGUCUCUCAUAUGACAGGCAAAGGCAUUAUUAGCCUGUGUAUUUCUUUUCUUGGCUUACUUUCUGGGCUCUUGAUGAUCAAAAUUCUUAAAUUCAAACUGCUGUGAUAAAAGAUAAGAUUGCUUCUUCCGAGGAUAUAGACACACACUCUGCAAAAGUUCAGACGCUGUCUUCUAAAAAUCAGUAAUGAGUGAAGAAGUUGUAACUUACUCCAAUUUGCCAUUUCAACCAUCAUCUCAGCCACAGAGGGGACAAAGACUUGAAACUACCAAGAGAAAAGAUCACCCUACUCCACUUUCUUCACGGAAAUAUGUUGCUGUGUUUCUGUGGAUCAUUUGCCUGGGGCUUCUUCUGUCUGUUGGAUACUUGGUCAUUGAGUUGAAUAAAAAGCCAUUUCAACCAGAAGGAUGUCCAAGAAAUAGCUCCUCCAAUACGGAAGCAAAUAAAACAGUUUGGAAAUACCCUACUUGUUCAAACAACUGGCAUCAGUAUGGAGAAAACUGCUACUAUUUUUCAAGAAACAGUGUUCCUUGGAAGGAAUGUCACCAUUAUUGCACCAAUUUACAUUCUGAAUUUCUUAAGUCAAAUACUGAAGAAGAGAUGAAUUUUAUAAUAAAAUUGUCAAAAAUGCAAUGCGGUUUGCAAAAAGAAAAGUUUUCAAUUAGUUUAUACUACAGCAAUAAACAACUGAACUGGGUUUGGCUAGAUGAUACAAAACUUACCCUGGACAAGCUUCAACUUCCAGGACAUGAGAAUGCUAAUAAUAAAUGUGCACACAUAAAAUACGGCCAAAUAAUUGCUGAAGAUUGCCAUAGUAGUGGUUAUUGUAUCUGUAAGAAGACAAUAUAUUAGAUUAGAUAAAAUGCCUGAGAUUUUCCAGUGAGAUGAAAACUCACUAUUAAACUAUGUAAAAACGUGUUUAGCUAAAAAUAGAUGUCAUUAAACAUUGAAGUCUAUAUGUUAUUCUUUAACUUUAAUCCAUAAUUUGUAGCAGGAUUGAUACAAUAAACAGUAUUUUAGUGACA